GCCCGGCUAGCUCAGUCGGUAUAGCAUGAGACCCUUAAUCUCAGGAUCGUGUGUUCGAGCCCCACAUUGGGCG
rnacentral:tRNA from 1 species